rnacentral:rRNA from 1 species
UACGUAGGGGGCUAGCGUUGUCCGGAAUCAUUGGGCGUAAAGCGCGCGUAGGCGGCCCAGUAAGUCCGUUGUAAAAGUCAAAGGCUCAACCUUUGAAAGCCGAUGGAUACUGCUGGGCUAGAGUCCGGAAGAGGCGAGUGGAAUUCCUGGUGUAGCGGUGGAAUGCGCAGAUAUCAGGAGGAACACCGAUAGCGAAGGCAGCUCGCUGGGACGGUACUGACGCUGGAGGCGCGAAAAGCGUGGGGGAGCGAACAGG